GUAAGAUUUCGAGUGCUCGGGAGCACGAUUUCGUUUGACGUGCAACCCGAAAGCUUCAAUGCAAGGAUUCUUAAUAUAGUUACGAUGCUUUUUAUUACAGGAUUUAUAAAUAAUUAGCGCCAGAUAAAACAAAGAAUAGAAAUUGCAUAACCAAUGACGAGAAGAAUAAAAGUACUCAUCAUGUCUACUAAAGAUAAAGGAUUAUAAGACGAUUCUUCAACAUUUUUUGUUGGUGGCAUCAGAUCAUCGGUUAAUCUCUUGUAAAUUUCAGAAUCUCUUAAAUUUCUAAUUCUGAAAUUAAAUAAAUAGAAUUAUUUACUGAUAAUGUAUUUUUUAUUUAUUUUCUAAUAAUCUGAAACGAACAUUUACCUAUGUAAAAUAUUAUUGACGAUGAAUUUAGAAAAUCUCUGAUAGGAAGAAUCAAUAAAAAAAUGUGAAAAAAUCUAUAUUUUCAAUGUAAGCUAUUCAUCGAGUUAAUGUAAUUGUAUAAUAAUUUAAAAC